UACGAAGGGGGCUAGCGUUGCUCGGAAUCACUGGGCGUAAAGGGUGCGUAGGCGGGUCUUAAGUCAGGGGUGAAAUCCUGGAGCUCAACUCCAGAACUGCCUUUGAUACUGAGGAUCUUGAGUUCGGGAGAGGUGAGUGGAACUGCGAGUGUAGAGGUGAAAUUCGUAGAUAUUCGCAAGAACACCAGUGGCGAAGGCGGACUCACUGGCCCGAUACUGACGCUGAGGCACGAAAGCGUGGGGA
rnacentral:rRNA from 1 species